GACGAACGCUGGCGGCGUGCUUAACACAUGCAAGUCGAACGGAAAGGCCCUGCUUUUGUGGGGUGCUCGAGUGGCGAACGGGUGAGUAACCCGUGGGUAACCUGCCCUUGACUUUGGGAUAACUUCAGGAACCUGGGGCUAAUACCGGAUAGGAGCUCCUGCUGCAGGGUGGGGGUGGGAAAGUUUCGGCGGUUGGGGAUGGACUCGCGGCUUAUCAGCUUGUUGGUGGGGUAGUGGCUUACCAAGGCUUUGACGGGUAGCCGGCCUGAGAGGGUGACCGGCCACAUUGGGACUGAGAUACGGCCCAGACUCCUACGGGAGGCAGCAGUGGGGAAUAUUGCACAAUGGGCGGAAGCCUGAUGCAGCAACGCCGCGUGCGGGAUGACGGCCUUCGGGUUGUAAACCGCUUUCGCCUGUGACGAAGCGUGAGUGACGGUAAUGGGUAAAGAAGCACCGGCUAACUACGUG
rnacentral:rRNA from 1 species